rnacentral:piRNA from 1 species
UGCUUGAAUGUGUUGGAAAGGUGAUG